ACUCAUGCUCCUGGUCUGGCCAUGUGGGAUGUCUGUUCCUCGUUUCCCUCCUGCCAUGGCUGUUAAGUUUCCUGAGGCUUCACCAGAAACCAAGAGGAUUCCAGCACCAUGCUUCCUGUAUAGCCUGGAGAACUGCGUUUUAAAGAUAAAUGGUAAAACUGAACUGGAAAUCCAUCUGGCCGGCUGCCUGCUCUAAUGAAUAACCCCACUUUGGCUCGUGCAAUGACUUCUUCCCUUUGGAAUGCAAGUGCGGUGGCAGUGUCAAGGAUGCCUGUGUGUUUGCAGCAGGUUCCUUCCAGAAGCAGCUGCAAGUGCCACCUCCAGGCCAUCUGGCCAAUGUGAGGAAAAGAGGCUGCAAGGGCUUGGCAAAAAACAACUUUCUGUUCCUCUGGUAUCCCCUGAUAACUGAUUUCAAGUUAUGGCCAAGGACUGCCUUAUCGCUAUCAGUGGCUGUCAAAAAUUUAUAAGUAUAUUCAUUUCCCUAUUCAACUUAAUUGGUAUUUUGGAUUUGACACUAGAAAAGCAAGUUUGACUUGCCUGUUGGAGUCCAAGGAUACCUCCAACAAAAUUCUAGAGAAUAAAAGAAAGGAUAAGUGUCUGAGGGGAGGGGACACUUACAAGUUAUUCCAUUUAAUGCUAAUUCGAGGCUUCCAAAUUCAUUUUGGGGCAAUCAAAGAUCAAGAGCUCUAUGCAUGGCUUUUUA